rnacentral:rRNA from 1 species
UACGUAGGGGGCUAGCGUUGUCCGGAUUUAUUAGGCGUAAAGAGCGUGUAGGCGGCCUGACAGGUCUGCUGUGAAAACUCGAGGCUCAACCUCGAGAUGUCGGCGGAAACCGUCUGGCUAGAGUCCGGAAGAGGAGAGUGGAAUUCCUGGUGUAGCGGUGAAAUGCGCAGAUAUCAGGAAGAACACCUAUGGCGAAGGCAGCUCUCUGGGACGGUACUGACGCUGAGACGCGAAAGCGUGGGGAGCGAACAGG